AACGUAAUGACAGGGACAGAGCGGUGGGACGGAGCGUGCUGGUCCACAGGCCGUUGAGGUUGCGGGGUUGAAGUUCGAGCAAGUUCGAGCAUCGGAGUGGUAAGGGCUGCAAUCAUGGUCCUCCGUGCGAGUGGCAGGUUUACAAGGCUUGUCUCCUAAACCUCCAUGGUUGGCGCGGGUUCUUUCUCCAGCACUCUUGGUGGCAAC